rnacentral:rRNA from 1 species
GCCCUACGGGGUGCAGCAGGCGCGAAAACUUUACAAUGCUGGCAACAGCGAUAAGGGAACCUCGAGUGCCAGGUUACAAAUCUGGCUGUCGAGAUGCCUAAAAAGCAUUUCAUAGCAAGGGCCGGGCAAGACCGGUGCCAGCCGCCGCGGUAACACCGGCGGCUCGAGUGGUAACCGUUAUUAUUGGGUCUAAAGGGUCUGUAGCCGGCCGGAUAAGUCUCUUGAGAAAUCUGGCAGCUUGACUGUCAGGCUUUCAGGAGAUACUGUCUGGCUCGAGGCCGGGAGAGGUGAGAGGUACUUCAGGGGUAGGGGUGAAAUCUUGUAAUCCUUGAAGGACCACCAGUGGCGAAGGCGUCUCACCAGAACGGACCUGACGGCAAGGGACGAAAGCUAGGGGCACGAACCGGAUUAGAUACCCGGGUAGUCCUAGCCGUAAACGAUACUCGCUAGGUGUCGGCCACGGUGCGACCGUUGUCGGUGCCGUAGGGAAGCCGUGAAGCGAGCCACCUGGGAAGUACGGCCGCAAGGCUGAAACUUAAAGGAAUUGGCGGGGGAGCACCACAACGGGUGGAGCUUGCGGUUUAAUUGGAUUCAACGCCGGAAAUCUUAC